rnacentral:rRNA from 1 species
UGAGGAAUUUUGGGCAAUGGGCGAAAGCCUGACCCAGCGACGCCGCGUGGAGGAUGAAGGCCUUCGGGUCGUAAACUCCUGUUCUGGGGGAAGAAAACGGGAUGCGUGAAUAAUUCAUCCCGCUGACGGUACCCCAGGAGAAAGCUCCGGCUAAUUACGUGCCAGCAGCCGCGGUAAUACGUAGGGAGCAAGCGUUAUCCGGAUUCAUUGGGCGUAAAGCGCGCGUAGGCGGCUUGUUAAGUCAGGUGUCAAAUCCAGGGGCUCAACCCUUGUCCGCACCUGAAACUGGCAGGCUUGAGUUUGGUAGAGGAAGAUGGAAUUCCCAGUGUAGCGGUGAAAUGCGCAGAUAUUGGGAGGAACACCGAUGGCGAAGGCAGUCUUCUGGGCCAUAACUGACGCUGAAGUGCGAAAGCUAGGGGAGCAAGCA